AAGACUAUAGACCUGCGGAGUACCUGCGGAGGGAUCAUUACAGAGUUAUCAAACUCCAAAACCCUUUGUAAAUUUACCUAUUGUUUCUUCGGCAGGUGGUCCCUGGGAGGGUCCUGUAGCCUUAUUUUAGGUACCUGCUGAAGGUCAUAACUCGGUUCUAUAUUUUGUUUCUAAGUUACUAUUAAAAUAAGUCAAAACUUUCAACAACGGAUCUCU
rnacentral:misc_RNA from 1 species